GACGUAGGGUGCAAGCGUUGUCCGGAAUUAUUGGGCGUAAAGAGUUCGUAGGCGGUUUGCUAAGUCCGACGUUAAAGACCGGAGCUCAACUCCGACAUGGCAUUGGAAACUGGCAGGCUAGAGUGUGGUAGAGGCAAGGGGAAUUCCCGGUGUAGCGGUGGAAUGCGUAGAGAUCCGGAGGAAGACCGGUGGCGAAGGCGGUCUGCUGGGCAGUUUCUGACACUGAGGCGCGACAGCGUGGGGAGCAAACAGG
rnacentral:rRNA from 1 species